rnacentral:snRNA from 1 species
GGAUGUGGGGGUGAUCUGGCUGCAAUAUCUGUCACCUCAUUGAUCUCAAGGGUAUACUCAGCUGAUAUGGCUCACUAGAAGGUUUCCCCCUUUCUUCCUUAUCCCUUCAUGUGUGUCUUUAAGAAGUUGCAUGCUCAGUGGAAGAUGAUGACCUUCCUGGAAUAGAGAAGGGUCAUUCUUAGGUCAAGGGUACAUGAGUAGCUGUGCUCUACUGCUAGAACCUUCAAACAAACUUUCAAUAUUUAGCUAUGAGGAAAAAACAAUAGAUUUUAAUAACAAUGCAUGUUCAAGGGUUAUUUUUUAUAACAAGUUU